CAGGGAUCGAACAGACGCCCCCUGCCCUGGAAGGUGAAGUCUUAACCACUGGGCUACCAAGUUUGACACAAUCUCAGAAGACAGAAGGACGCUUUCAUCUCCUGUGUUCUUCCUACCCGUCUCCCUGCUACCAUCUAACUAGAAGGUUCCUGAAGUUGCUGCUUCCAUCCUGGAGAACGAGCUAACCCCAGGAUGGGCGAUUGACCCCAUCCACAGCCUUGCUUCUGUAUUCCUGCAUCCUGUCUCCAAAUCCUGCAUUUGAGGGACUGAAAAUUUUGGAUUCUGUGUAUCUUCUAUAGAGGGGUUUACUGUGUAUAUAAAUGCAUGUGUAUGUCUAGCACGUAAGCACUCGGUAGGUACCAGGCAUGUCUAACAUUCGUAUUUAAUGUGGUGACCCAAGAACAAAAGAGCAGAUAAAAUCAAGGAGGGUCUUGGAAUGCAGGAACGUAGAAACCAGACCCUUACCACCCUUCCCUCCCCCAAGCUGUAACUAUUAAGGGGUUUCAGGUCCUCCUGAGCAGUAUAAUCUGUCUCCCCUCCUACCCCAUAGGGAGAAGGUAUUUGCCUUACUCUUCACUCCAGCCAAUAUAUGUGCCUCAUCUAAUCAGCAAAUGACCCGCAAGACCGCUAUCCCAUCCUUGUACCCUGGGUAUAAAAGUGGACCAAGGACCCCUAUUCAACAUCGGUUCUCCCUUGAGCAGGUCCGCUGUUCUAACAGUGUCUCCCACUCUAAUAAACUUUAUUUCCCUCUCAUUCUGUCUCAUGUCUGGAAAUUCUUUUCCAACCC